rnacentral:ribozyme from 1 species
CACAAGAAAAGAGAAAAAAGAAGGAGGAAGAGUUUUACGGACAUAAAGCAGAACUUUCUUUCUUUCUUUUUUGUUUUAAAAAAAGGUGUGGUUUGUUUGUUUGU